rnacentral:rRNA from 1 species
AAACUAACAAGGAUUCCCCUAGUAACGGCGAGUGAAGCGGGAUGAGCUCAAAUUUGUAAUCUGGUGGACUCAGUUCAUCCGAGUUGUAAUCUAUAGAAAAGUUUUCCGCGCCGGACCGUGUCUAAGUCCCUUGGAACAGGGUGUCAGAGAGGGUGAGAAUCCCGUGCUUGAUACGACCACCGGUGCUAUGUGAUACUUUUUCAACGAGUCGAGUUGUUUGGGAAUGCAGCUCAAAAUGGGUGGUAAAUUCCAUCUAAAGCUAAAUAUUGGCGAGAGACCGAUAGCGAACAAGUACCGUGAGGGAAAGAUGAAAAGCACUUUGGAAAGAGAGUUAAACAGUACGUGAAAUUGUUAAAAGGGAAACGAUUGAAGUCAGUCGUGCUCUCUGGGACUCAGCCGGUUCUUCCGGUGUAUUUCCCAGUGAGCGGGUCAACAUCAGUUUAGAUCGCUGGAUAAGGUCAUUAGGAAUGUGGCUCCCUCGGGAGUGUUAUAGCCUAGUGUCGCAUACAGUGGUUUAGACUGAGGAACGCAGCUCGCCUUUAUGGCCGGGUUCGCCCACGUCCGAGCUUAGGAUGUUGACAUAAUGGCUU